GUGAUGCGUAUCGGAUUUACUGGGCGUAAGCGCGCGUAGGUGGUUAAUUAAGUCAAAUGUGAAAUCCCCGAGCUUAACUUGGGAAUUGCAUUCGAUACUGGUUAGCUAGAGUAUGGGAGAGGAUGGUAGAAUUCCAGGUGUAGCGGUGAAAUGCGUAGAGAUCUGGAGGAAUACCGAUGGCGAAGGCAGCCAUCUGGCCUAAUACUGACACUGAGGUGCGAAAGCAUGGGGAGCAAACAGGAUUAGAUACCCUGGUAGUCCAUGCCGUAAACGAUGUCUACUAGCCGUUGGGGGAUUUGAUCCUUUAGUGGCGCAGCUAACGCGAUAAGUAGACCGCCUGGGGAGUACGGUCGCAAGACUAAAACUCAAAUGAAUUGACGGGGGCCCGCACAAGCGGUGGAGCAUGUGGUUUAAUUCGAUGCAACGCGAAGAACCUUACCUGGCCUUGACAUAGUAGAGACUUUCCAGAGAUGGAUUGGUGCCUUCGGGAAUCUACAUACAGGUGCUGCAUGGCUGUCGUCAGCUCGUGUCGUGAGAUGUUGGGUUAAGUCCCGCAACGAGCGCAACCCUUUUCCUUACUUGCCAGCAUUUCGGAUGGGAACUUUAAGGAUACUGCCAGUGACAAACUGGAGGAAGGCGGGGACGACGUCAAGUCAUCAUGGCCCUUACGGCCAGGGCUACACACGUGCUACAAUGGUCGGUACAAAGGGUUGCUACACAGCGAUGUGAUGCUAAUCUCAAAAAGCCGAUCGUAGUCCGGAUCGCAGUCUGCAACUCGACUGCGUGAAGUCGGAAUCGCUAGUAAUCGCGGAUCAGAAUGCCGCGGUGAAUACGUUCCCGGGCCUUGUACACACCGCCCGUCACACCAUGGGAGUUUGUUGCACCAGAAGUAGUAGUCUAACCGCAAGGAGGACGCUUACCACGGUGUGGCCGAUGACUGGGUGAGUCUAGAGGAACGAAAAAAAAAAAAAAA
rnacentral:rRNA from 1 species